rnacentral:rRNA from 1 species
GACGAACGCUGGCGGCGUGCCUAAUACAUGCAAGUAGAACGCUGAAGGAGGAGCUUGCUUCUCUGGAUGAGUUGCGAACGGGUGAGUAACGCGUAGGUAACCUGCCUGGUAGCGGGGGAUAACUAUUGGAAACGAUAGCUAAUACCGCAUAAGAGUAGAUGUUGCAUGACAUUUGCUUAAAAGGUGCAAUUGCAUCACUACCAGAUGGACCUGCGUUGUAUUAGCUAGUUGGUGGGGUAACGGCUUACCAAGGCGACGAUACAUAGCCGACCUGAGAGGGUGAUCGGCCCAACUGGGACUGAGACACGGCCCAGACUCCUAAGGGAGGCAGCAGGAGGGAAUCUUCGGAAAUGGACGGAAGGCUGACCGAGAAACGCCGCGUGAGUGAAGAAGGGUUUCGGAUCGUAAAGCUCUGUUGUAAGAGAAGAACGAGUGUGAGAGUGGAAAGUUCACACUGUGACGGUAUCUUACCAGAAAGGGACGGCUAACUACGUG